rnacentral:rRNA from 1 species
GAUGAACGCUCGCGAUAGGCUUAACACAUGCAAGUCGAGGGGCAGCAUGGUCUUAGCUUGCUAAGACUGAUGGCGACCGGCGCACGGGUGCGUAACGCGUAUGCAACUUGCCUCACAGAGGGGGAUAACCCGUCGAAAGACGGACUAAUACCGCGUACACUUGGGAUAGGGCAUCCUGACCCAAGGAAAUGAAAUUCGCUGUGAGAUAGGCAUGCGUCCCAUUAGCUAGUUGGUGAGGUAACGGCUCACCAAGGCGACGAUGGGUAGGGGAACUGAGAGGUUGAACCCCCACACUGGUACUGAGACACGGACCAGACUCCUACGGGAGGCAGCAGUGAGGAAUAUUGGUCAAGGGGCGAGAGCCUGAACCAGCCAAGUCGCGUGAAGGAUGACUGUCUUAUGGAUGGUAAACUUCUUUUAUACGGGAAUAACAAGAGCCACGUGUGGCUCCCUGCAUGUACCGUAUGAAUAAGCAUCGGCUAACUCCGUG